GACGAACGCUGGCGGCGUGCUUAACACGUGCAAGUCGAACGGAAAGGCCCUGCUUUUGUGGGGUGCUCGAGUGGCGAACGGGUGAGUAACACGUGAGUAACCUGCCCUUGACUUUGGGAUAACUUCAGGAAACUGGGGCUAAUACCGGAUAGGAGCUCCUGCUGCAUGGUGGGGGUUGGAAAGUUUCGGCGGUUGGGGAUGGACUCGCGGCUUAUCAGCUUGUUGGUGGGGUAGUGGCUUACCAAGGCUUUGACGGGUAGCCGGCCUGAGAGGGUGACCGGCCACAUUGGGACUGAGAUACGGCCCAGACUCCUACGGGAGGCAGCAGUGGGGAAUAUUGCACAAUGGGCGGAAGCCUGAUGCAGCAACGCCGCGUGCGGGAUGACGGCCUUCGGGUUGUAAACCGCUUUCGCCUGUGACGAAGCGGGAGUGACGGUAAUGGGUAAAGAAGCACCGGCUAACUACGUG
rnacentral:rRNA from 1 species